AACGAACGCUGGCGGCAGGCUUAGCACAUGCAAGUCGAACGCAUCGCAAGAUGAGUGGCAGACGGGUGAGUAACGCGUGGGAACAUACCCUUUUCUACGGAAUAGCUCUGGGAAACUGGAAUUAAUACCGUAUACGCCCUACGGGGGAAAGAUUUAUCGGGGAAGGAUUGGCCCGCGUUGGAUUAGCUAGUUGGUGGGGUAAGGCCUACCAAGGCGACGAUCCAUAGCUGGUCUGAGAGGAUGAUCAGCCACAUUGGGACUGAGACACGGCCCAAACUCCUACGGGAGGCAGCAGUGGGGAAUAUUGGACAAUGGGCGCAAGUCUGAUCCAGCCAUGCCGCGUGAGUGAUGAAGGCCUUAGGGUUGUAAAGCUCUUUCACCGAUGGAGAUAAUGGCGGUAGUCGGAGAAGAAGCCCCGGCUAACUUCGUGCCAGCCGCCGCCGUAAGAC
rnacentral:rRNA from 1 species